CGGCACGGGUGAGUAACGCGUGGAUAAUCUACCCUUAAGAUGGGGAUAACGGCUGGAAACGGUCGCUAAUACCGAAUACGCUCCCGAUUUUAUCGUUGGGGGGAAAGAUGGCCUCUGCUUGCAAGCUAUCGCUUAAGGAUGAGUCCGCGUCCCAUUAGCUAGUUGGCGGGGUAACGGCCCACCAAGGCAACGAUGGGUAGCCGGUCUGAGAGGAUGACCGGCCACACUGGAACUGGAACACGGUCCAG
rnacentral:rRNA from 1 species